rnacentral:rRNA from 1 species
AUGAACGCUGGCGGCAUGCCUAACACAUGCAAGUCGAUCGGUAAGGCUCUUCGGAGUACACGAGAGGCGGACGGCUGAGUAACGCGUAGGAACACACCCUGCAGUGAGGGAUAAGACACCGAAAGGUGUUCUAAUACCGCAUACGGUCUUCGGAUUAAAGCAUUUAUGCGCUGAAGGAGUGGCCUGCGUCAUAUUAGAUAGUUGGUGAGGUAAUGGCUCACCAAGUCGAUGAUGUGUAGCUGGUCUGAGAGGAUGAUCAGCCAGACUGGAACUGAGACACGGUCCAGACUCCUACGGGAGGCAGCAGUGAGGAAUAUUUCACAAUGAGCGAAAGCUUGAUGGAGCAAUGCCGCGUGCAGGAUGAAGGCCCUCGGGUUAUAAACUGCUUUUAUAAGAGAAGAUUAUGACGGUAACUUAUGAAUAAGGGACGGCUAACUACGUG